rnacentral:rRNA from 1 species
GUGACUGCGUACCUUUUGUAUAAUGGGUCAGCGACUUAUAUUCUGUAGCAAGGUUAACCGUAUAGGGGAGCCGUAGGGAAACCGAGUCUUAACUGGGCGAAUAAGUUGCAGGGUAUAGACCCGAAACCCGGUGAUCUAGCCAUGGGCAGGUUGAAGGUUGGGUAACACUAACUGGAGGACCGAACCGACUAAUGUUGAAAAAUUAGCGGAUGACUUGUGGCUGGGGGUGAAAGGCCAAUCAAACCGGGAGAUAGCUGGUUCUCCCCGAAAGCUAUUUAGGUAGCGCCUCGUGAACUCAUCUUCGGGGGUAGAGCACUGUUUCGACUAGGGGGUCAUCCCGACUUACCAACUCGAUGCAAACUACGAAUACCGAAGAAUGUUAUCACGGGAGACACACGGCGGGUGCUAACGUUCGUCGUGAAGAGGGAAACAACCCAGACCGCCAGCUAAGGUCCCAAAGUCAUAGUUAAGUGGGAAACGAAGUGGGAAGGCUCAGACAGCCAGGAUGUUGGCUUAGAAGCAGCCAUCAUUUAAAGAAAGCGUAAUAGCUCACUGGUCGAGUCGGCCUGCGCGGAAGAUGUAACGGGGCUAAACUAUGCACCGAAGCUGCGGCAGCGA